UACACUCCUACGGGAGGCAGCAGUGGGGAAUCUUGCGCAAUGGGCGAAAGCCUGACGCAGCCAUGCCGCGUGAAUGAUGAAGGUCUUAGGAUUGUAAAAUUCUUUCACCGGGGACGAUAAUGACGGUACCCGGAGAAGAAGCCCCGGCUAACUUCGUGCCAGCAGCCGCGGUAAUACGAAGGGGGCUAGCGUUGCUCGGAAUUACUGGGCGUAAAGGGAGCGUAGGCGGACAUUUAAGUCAGGGGUGAAAUCCCGGGGCUCAACCUCGGAAUUGCCUUUGAUACUGGGUGUCUUGAGUAUGAGAGAGGUGUGUGGAACUCCGAGUGUAGAGGUGAAAUUCGUAGAUAUUCGGAAGAACACCAGUGGCGAAGGCGACACACUGGCUCAUUACUGACGCUGAGGCUCGAAAGCGUGGGGAGCAAACAGGAUUAGAUACCCCGGUAGUCCC
rnacentral:rRNA from 1 species